rnacentral:rRNA from 1 species
CCUACGGGGGGCAGCAGUGAGGAAUAUUGGUCAAUGGACGAGAGUCUGAACCAGCCAAGUAGCGUGAAGGAUGACUGCCCUAUGGGUUGUAAACUUCUUUUAUAUGGGAAUAAAAUGUUCCACGUGUGGGAUUUUGUAUGUAACAUAUGAAUAAGGAUCGGCUAACUCCGUGCCAGCAGCAGCGGUAAUCCUGAGGAGCCGCGCGUAAUCCGGAUUUAUUGGGUUAAAGGGGAGCGUAGGUGGAUUGUUAAGUCAGUUGUGAAAGUUUGCGGCUCAACCGUAAAAUUGCAUUUGAAACUGGCAGUCUUGAGUACAGUAGAGGUGGGCGGAAUUCGUAGUGUAGCGGUGAAAUGCUUAGAUAUCACGAAGAACUCCGAUUGCGAAGGCAGCUCACUGGACUGCAACUGACACUGAGGCUCGAAAGUGUGGGUAUCAAACAGAAUUAGAUACCCGGGUAGUC